rnacentral:rRNA from 1 species
GAGCAAUAUUGGUCAAUGGGCGAUGGCCUGAACCAGCCAAGUAGCGUGAAGGAUGACUGCCCUAUGGGUUGUAAACUUCUUUUAUAAAGGAAUAAAGUCGGGUAUGCAUACCCGUUUGCAUGUACUUUAUGAAUAAGGAUCGGCUAACUCCGUGCCAGCAGCCGCGGUAAUACGGAGGAUCCGAGCGUUAUCCGGAUUUAUUGGGUUUAAAGGGAGCGUAGAUGGAUGUUUAAGUCAGUUGUGAAAGUUUGCGGCUCAACCGUAAAAUUGCAGUUGAUACUGGAUGUCUUGAGUGCAGUUGAGGCAGGCGGAAUUCGUGGUGUAGCGGUGAAAUGCUUAGAUAUCACGAAGAACUCCGAUUGCGAAGGCAGCCUGCUAAGCUGCAACUGACAUUGAGGCUCGAAAGUGUGGGUAUCAAACAGGAUUAGAUACCCUGGUAGUCCACACGGUAAACGAUGAAUGUCCGCUGUUUGCGAUA